CUGGGCACAUGCUAAUUUGAAAGGUGUAAUAUAUAAAGUUAUUUCAUAAAUAAAUAUAAAUGUGUUAUUUUAUUUGUCAUUGCUUUGCUAAUACAUCAUUAACAUUUACUCUUUUUUUAUAUCCGAAUCUGUGCUUAGGGAAGAAAGACUUGAGUUCAUCAUUAACAUGGGGAUUUGAAGAUGAAGAACCAAAGACCUACGAAGCAAAUGGAACCAGGAAAUAUUCAAAGAAACCAUCAAAGCCAGUAGACUGGGUUUUGUGAAGAAUGAAUCGACUUUCAUGCAGUAUCUUUCUUCUGGAGGGUCGGCAUGUCAAGGCUGACUUGAAACGUACCUCUACUCGCAACUUGACAACAGAAACAAAGGGAGAGAGGAGGGGAAUGCUUGGAAUGUAUUCGGAGAUGAGAGGGAGAUGAGGAAUGUAUGUGAAACAUUUACAGCCUGAGAAAAUCCUGACACUUCAAGGCCGAGUGAUGGGAACCAUCUGAAGAUGCAGACUGUUUUCCCAAAAUAAAAAGAAUGUGUUGGAUCGGUGGAUAAUGGACAAUGGGUGGCCCAAAUGAGGAAAAGGGGAAAUUAACUAUGCUGUUUUUCACACAAAAACCUCAGAGCUAGCUGCGUUUCUUCUGUGCCUGUAUGGAUCUAUUAGUAAAGUU